rnacentral:tRNA from 1 species
GACGAAGUAGUUUAAGUAAAAACGGCAGAUUGUGGUUCUGUUAAUAGUUGUUCCUUUUCGUUA